AAAAGCAAAGCAAUGAACCUUGGGAGUGUUUGUUGCAAGAUUCUGCCAUUCUACAGUCGUCGGAGAUAGAAAUGUUGAAAAUAUUUUUUUUUCUCAUUACCUAACAAUGAUUUAGAAAGACUGUAAUAUAUGUAAAUUGGAAUCAUCCACAUAGCACCAUCCUUACGGGGCUGGUUAGAGUUGUCUAUCAUGAUCUGCCUCUGAUUUUGCAACACCAUAGAGGGAGGAAUGGAAAAGGUGCACCUGCCUCUAUUCACUGUGACUGCAGGAGGUUCAAAACAAACAACAAAGUCUAGCAGGGAAUGUCAGAAAUUUCGACUUCCCUGUGAUGAGACUGAUGGACAGUGCGCUGUAAAGGAGUCAAGUCACUGUCACUUGGAGAAGAACGGAAAAAUUUCUCUUCAGGAAAUCUACCUCUGAUUUAUUUUAUUCUUUCUAUUGCAUUAACAAUGAGGUGACUAAAGAAAUAUGGAAAAAUAAUAUGUAAAACAGAAUCAAGUAAAGGUUAUCCAAAAAUGUAAAUAUACUUAAUACUGCAAUCUCUAGUUCUAAAGUAACUCAAAUUUGAAUUAGGGAUCUAUUUUUCAUUGUGUAUGCCCUGCAGAAACAUACAAAAUGCCAGGAAAAUGGAUGGCAUAAUGAUUUUGGUAGAUUGGUGGACAUGCUCUAUAGGUUCAUUUCUUUCUGUGUUGACUUUGUCCUUUACAUUCCACUGAUGAAUAAAUGUAUUAACAUGUAGUUUACCACACAGGUCAGGGGAUCUUUCUCAUUUGCCCUUGAAAACAAAUGUUCUGUCUGCUCUGCAAGGAUAAUGCAUAAGAUUUAGUGGCUCUUCUCUGUCUAUUUGGCGUUCAGAAAUGUUGCUUCUCCAAAUAUGUCACAAUUUAGGUACUGCACUACUGCUGAAAUCUGGUUUAUGGGGUUAGAUUUUUUUCAUAUGGAGAUUUUUGGUUCUUUGGUACAAAGACACAGUAUGUCCCAAAUUAUGAAAAUCCCCUAGUUUCAUGAGUCAUGCUUCAUGUAUGUUCUUUGGACACAAUCAAAUUGUGCUCAUUGAAGACAGCUAUUUGAUGGAAUUCAGACAAAAAAAAAAAAAAAAAGAAAAGAAAAAAAAGCAAUGAACAAGAAAUGAUAAUCCUCAAAGAAUUUUCCAUUAGGCAAUGAAAUAAUAUAUUGUAUGUAUUUGAGUUCAAACAUGUAAAUAAGGAAAGUGACGUUACCCAGGGGUCCGCACUGGGGCCUGGUCUGUCUAAUAUCUUUCUUGAUGAUGUAGACAAGGGGAUUAAGUGCACCCUCAGUAAGUUUACAGAUGACACCAAGUUGGGAAGAAUUGACAAUCUGCCUGGGGGUACGAAGGCCCCAUGGAGAGAUCUGGACAGACUGAAUCUCUGGGCUGAAGCCAGUUGGGUGAAGUUCAACCAGACCAAGUGCCAGGUUCUGCAUUUUGACCACAACCCCAGGCAAUGCUAUAGGCUUGGGGCAGAGUGGCUGAAAGAUUGUGUGGAAAAAAUGGACCUGGGGGUGUUGGUUGAUGCUCGGCUGAACAUGAGCCAGCAGCGUGCCCAGGUGGCCAAGAAGGCCAAAGGCAUCCUGGCUUAUAUCAGAAAUAGUGUUGCCAGCUGGAGCAGGGAAGUUAUCAGCCCUCUGUAGUCAGCUGUGGUAAGGCCACACCUUAAGUACUAUGUUCAGUUUUGGGCGCCUCAACUGCAAGAGGAGGGCCCUGGAGUGUGUUCAGAGUUGGGCUUCAAAGCUGGUGAGGGGUCUGGAGCACAAGUCUUAUGAGGAGUGGCUGAGAGAAUGGAGUCUGUUUAGUCUGGAGAAGAGGAGGCUUAGGGGGAGACCUUGUUGCUCUCUACAACUACCUGAAGGGAGGUUGUGGUGAGGUGGGGGUUGCCCUCUUCUCCCACUUAUCUAUCAAUAGGGAUAGAGGGAAUAGACUAAAGUUGCACUAGGAGAGAUUCAGUUAGGUUGUUAGGAAAAAUUUAUUCUCAAGAAGAGUUGUUAGGCACUGGAAGUGGUUGGGCACUUCCCAAAAAGGUGAUUGAGUCACCGUCUGUGGGGGUGUUCAAGAAACAUUUAGAUGUUGUACUGAGGGACGUGGUUUAGUGGGAAAUAUUGGUGAUAGGUGAAUGGUUGGACUGAAUGAUCUUGGAGGACUUUUCCAACUUUGGUGAUUCUAUGGUUCUAUGAAAGAAGCAUAACUGAGAGGAAAUGAAAGGGCAAAGGUAGUAACAGCCUCGAGUGAUUCAUGUUUACAUAGGUUGCUCUGUAAGUAAUGCCUCCUAUUUAUUUCCAUGGAAAUGACAACAGAUACAAAGAACACAAUAACACUGUUUGACAGAGCAAAUUCUCACCUACUAAACAAUAUUUUCCAAUGUAGUUAUCACUAUUAGCCGUG
ensembl:lncRNA